AGAGCUCAAAUUUGAAAGCUGGACNGGUCAAGGUCCGCGUUGUAAUUUGCAGAGGAUGCUUCGGNAGCGGCCCNCGUCUAAGUGCCCUGGAACGGGCCGUCAUAGAGGGUGAGAAUCCCGUCUGGGACGGGGUGUCCUUUUANGAGNGAAGCUCCUUCGAAGAGUCGAGUUGUUUGGGAAUGCAGCUCUAAAUGGGUGGUAAAUUUCAUCUAAAGCUAAAUACUGGCCGGAGACCGAUAGCGCACAAGUAGAGUGAUCGAAAGAUGAAAAGCACUUUGAAAAGAGAGUUAAACAGCACGUGAAAUUGUUGAAAGGGAAGCGUUUGCGACCAGACUCGCCCGCGGGGUUCAGCCGGCAUUCGUGCCGGUUGACUUCCCCGUGGGCGGGCCAGCGCCGGUUUGGGCGGGCGGGC
rnacentral:rRNA from 1 species